rnacentral:lncRNA from 7 species
GAUCAUAACAUCUCUCUGCAUUUAUGCUGUGGCAGCAAAAAUUUAAGCUUGGAUUGUAAUCAUAAAGAAAUUAACUUGCUGAUUAAAAAUAGUCCUUUAAGCAACAUGCAUUUGAAUAAUCCAUCAUAAAAACAAAUCAGUCUGGAGCAAUACUUUUGACUUGAUAAUCUUUUUUUCUGCUUAAAAUUUAAAUCAGUUGCAUUUUUUUCUCUUACUCUGGUGCCUAUAGAAAAAUACAAUGAAUUGCUAAAAAGAAAGCAAUAGUUCAAACUGCAAUAGCUGUAGUGUUGAAUAUAGAUUUUAGAUCUGUCGCUGCAAGAUAGAUUUGUAUGUCAUAGUUCUAAUUUCCAGCUGUGGUGCCUUCAGGCAACUCCACUGACAUUAGAUGCCUUACACAAAAUGCAAGUUAAUGCAGAAAAUUCGCUUUUAUAUAUUUGCAAAGAAUUUUGAAGAUAAAAGAAAUGCACACGCCAGAGCUGAUCGAAUUCUUCUUGAGGUCUGUAGUGGAGGUCCUGUUUAAUUCAACUGCUGGAACUGCUGGAUCAUGUCUGAAUGAAUGCAGCAGAAGUCUGCUUACAGCAAAGCUGACCAGAUUCCAGCUGGAAGAGCCUGUCUGCUGUGAGCCAGGAGGGAUUUGGAGACAGCUGGUGCCCAGGGAGCGAGACGGCUGCUCAGUACCAAAAUCUCAUCAGGAUCUUGGUCAGACCAUAGAUUCAGAGAGCUUCUGGGCUCCUUGUGAGGUGCUGAACAGACACUGUACCUUGUUUUUUAAACAUCCCUCAAUUGCGUGCAACUUCUGCUUACUCAGGAGAAAACUCCAGCCACAAGGAGGUCCAUGGCUGCCCUCCUGCAGUGCACUCAUUAUAAACAACAAAUGCAUCAAGGAGUUGCUGCUGUGAAAAUCCCCAUCUAACUACUGCGAUGGAUAAUCUUCCCAAGAAGUGCUUCAUGUCCAUGGGAGUGUGGCAUGGUGCCACUGUCUGAAUGAAGGGCAUGGCAGUGUAAGGCUUUGGGUGGGCAGCCAUGCUUCAGACACCGGCAUGGGCUACGCCAUACCACACAGAAGCAGACUACGGCUGAGCAAAGCAGUGCCUCUGUGGUCCUGCAGUGCAGAUGGCUGCUAGACUGGGCCUCAUCAUUGUCUCCAAGGGCAAAAUGUGUUCAGCUGCAUCAUGAAUAUAGAACAAGCUGGGAGCUGCUGCCCUGCUGUUUUGUAUGAGGCUGUAGCUAAACUGAGGUUAGAACGAUACUGUUCUCUCUUCCUCUUUCUACCACUGCUCCCAAGCCAUCAAGUGGGAAAAGAAGCUGCUACUGAAAAGCAAAGAGAGCGUGUAUGGAACUCAUGAGUACUGAAUUCCAAAAAUUCCUUUCUCUCAAAUCCAAGCUCCAGAACUAAUGAUGAAGCUAGCAUAGCAGAAAGGCCAAAACCAGGGCUAAAGACCGGGAAACAAACUAAUCAGAUCUGCAGUGUAUGUUUUAUCCUGCUGUCUCCACAAGGUGGCUAUUAAAUAUCACUAGGCUCAAAUCCCCAGGGCCUGAUUUACCUUUUCCAGAAUAUACAGGUAUCUCAUGAGUGAAAAAUGAUAACACAAUGCUUUUCAUUCUCACAGAAUUCAACACUAGUUUACUAUGUGUAUUAUACAACAGAAGUUAUUUACUCAAGAUUAUUGGUUAUAUUAGGGAAAUGCUACACCUUUCUUUUAAUCUAUUCCAAAGUGAUGCUUUUUUGUAUUUUUGCAUGAGCUGUAGUCCACAAUGAAUAACAGCUUAUGCAUCUCAUCGGUUUCUUUUUACUUCCUUAUAUUUUAAAUAAAAUGCAAUGG